rnacentral:rRNA from 1 species
UACGUAGGGUCCGAGCGUUGUCCGGAGUUACUGGGCGUAAAGGGCGUGCAGGCGGUUUGUUAAGUGCAGGGUGAAAGCUCCCGGCUCAACUGGGAGAGGUCCUUGCAUACUGGCGAACUCGAGGGAGGCAGAGGAAAGUGGAAUUCCCGGUGUAGUGGUGAUAUGCGUAGAUAUCAGGAGGAACACCGAUGGCGAAGGCAGGUCUCUGGGCUGACACUGACGCUCAUGCACGAAAGCGUGGGGAGCAAACAGG